CUUUCAUGCUUUCCAGGUUGAUACUACAGCUGGAUCAUUUAGAAAUUAUUCAAACAAUACAGUACAGGCCCCCUACAUGGUAGAUGGUGCCUUGUCGUACACACAGAUGUUGCUUGGCAUUGAUGAAACGGCUAAUUCUGAAUACUAUAAUGAUUAUCUACAAAGACCAGCCAGUUAUGAGAAUAAGAUGUUCAUGAUCACUGGAAGGUAUGCAGAUGGAGCAGAUACUAUGAUUGAUUCGGAAGAAACAAAUCAUGAGCA